GACAGUUGGGUCAGGCUUAGGUACCACUCCAGAUGCCCACUCCAGUGGCACCACUGGCUUGCUCGGGGUUGUUGGGGAGGUAGGCUGGGAGACCAAUCAAACACAAUGAUGUUAGAAUUUGAAUUACAAAAUGUGAGUUCUCAUAACAAGUAGCACCACAUGGCAGCGCUGCAGCCAGCUUCAACAGCAGUGAGACCUGGGGGUAGAGAGCAGGAGGGAGUCUCUGGACACAGUGAGUAUCAGGAAUAGCAUAGAAACCUACUCCUUUUCAUUUUGAGAGAGCCCCUAAGGAGCCCACCAUCAUGAGAGGGAGAUAAAGAAGCCUAAUGAAAAAUGUUAUAUUAUUGUGUAUAAUAAGGAUAUUGUAGACUUUCACACUGAGAUGAGAAAGGGUCACAAGGUCAUACUAUACUGUGUUUAGUAGGAAAAAAAAAAAUAAAAGACGUGCUCUUGACUCACCAUGUUAGUGUGCUCAGGUGAGUUUAAGAAGAAAACAAUCCCUAUAUCCACAGAUCUGAAUUCCAACAAGAAACAGGGAACAUAAACACUCAACUCAUGUCAAUAGCACUUAUGAAACUUUUUAAUCUUAAGAUUAAUGUCACCAUACAGUGAUGAAAAACAACCUGCUGGCAAAUAUUUUUGCUCUAAAAACACACAGGAAUGCAACAAUCUUUUAGAGACAACGUUUUAUAUGAUAACACAAAACAUGCCAGGUGACACCCUUACAACUGUGGUCAGAGGAAAUUUGAUCUGUACCUUCUCUCAGAAAAUAUUUAGGUUAAUGGGACUCAAAGAAUUAGUACACUAGUGCUAAACUACUACAGACUCACAGAGAGCUUCUGCUGCUCCGAGUACACAGUGGCAGAAAAAAACCAAAUCCACUGGAGCAUUCCUCUUUCUUCUGAACAAUCAAACUCUCUCUAUAUAUAUAUUUGGUGCCUCUCAAUCAAACUCUCUCUCUCUAUAUAUAUUCAUGCUUUAUGUUGGCAUUGAAAUCCAUCUUACACCGAAGCAAAAAAAAAAAAUCUAUAUUAGUGCACCCACAGUGGCAGAAUUGUGCUGGGCAGAGAUGCCUGAUAGCCAUUGGCUGUACAAGAUAAAAAAAACAAACAAACUAGGUAGUCCCUGGGUAUUCAUUGAACAUAGCAUCAAAGUCUCCCAUAACAGCUGGGUACUCAUACUGCUUUUGUCUUUCUGUAAGUUGAGGCUUGAGAUCAAAGCAGCAAUGUGGUAAUUCUCUUCACUUACAGCGAUGACCCACUCCUCCCACAGUGCAGAGCUGUAAUUGCCCAACUUUAUAUGCAAUGAAGGAAGCAUGAGGGAGCCAGAAAAACUGUGGCAAAGGGAACAGUUGUGGUCAAAUUAUAUCCAGUGAGGACAGGAGACUCAUCAGCGAAAUUCCAGGUAUUCAGACUGAAUUAGUGCUGACUGUGGAACUGCUCAAUAUUGCCCAUCAUCCUCCAUUGAAACCACACGUACACAGUCUUCAAGCCGGUCUCCAAAAGUGAUGAACUAUCCUUAAAGUCAGCUGUGGUCGUGCAGUGGCACAUGUCUGCAGUGAACUCUUCCUUGCUGAGGUGAUCCCCGCUGUGGCCAGCUUUAUGCAAUGUGAUGAGCAUUGCAUGCUUCCUGUGGUCAUCUCCUUGCAACAAUUGGCUUUGGAUUAAUUGGCUUGAUUUGAAGUUACCAUCCAUCUUUCAAAUCCCCAGUUAAGCUGGAAUGUUCUACAGCAGGCAGAUAGAAUUACUACUGUAUAAACAGCUGUAACAGAUGAUUAUUUUCAGAGAACUUGAAGAGCAGAGCUAGUGAGGAGCAGGACCAGGCCCAAUAACCAUCUUUCCUUAGGCAAGGUGAUUACAUAGUGGUUAAAUUAGCCGUCUUUUGUAUUUAGGCUACAGUUUUGUGCCAACAGAUGAAAUGCAAUGAGUCUUCUUAGGACAGCCUUUACAGUGGCAGUUUCCAGUCUAAUUUGACUCUUCUUGCUGUCCUGUUCUCCUUAGUAAUUUGGACAGGGAGGGGUGUGAGGAAAGCAGAGGGGGAUCAGAAAGGCAUUUUUUCAUAUGUGGAACUUACUGAAGAAAAGUUGGGGAGGGUGACUUUCAGUUUAGCUGUUUAGACAUUUCUCAUUCUCUUCACUAGACUGUACAAGCGAUGGGGACUUUCCAGCCAUUUGCAUACAGUCUUAGAACAGGUUGGUUAAAUAGCCAUGAAGACCUAAAAAUAGCUGGGGGGAAAAUAGUGGCACCAAAUAAGCUGUAACUCAGUAUAAAUCCACUGCGGACUAAUGAAGAGACUGAAGUCCUCUUCCUAUCCGGAGAAAGUGAUGGGACAUUUACCCUCAGGCUUUUAUUCGUAUAGUGAAAUAAAAAUGAUGUGGAAAUACUGCACAACAGAUAAGAAAAUCAUAGAACCAUAGAAUUGUUUCAGUUGGAAGGGGCAUUUAUAGAUCAUCUAGUCCAACUCCCCUGUGGUUCUAAUUAUGAACCUGUCCCUAGAGCCAUUAAUCCUCUUGGGUGCACUGCCAAGCUUGUGCUUAGGUUUGUUUUUACCACUUUUGCUUCUUUGUUCCAGGUUUCAGCUGUCAGAAUGUAGAAUGUGUGCAGUCAGUGAGGAUGGAGCAAGUGUGGGCGAUAACUCAGGAAAGGGGGUUGAGGAGCACAGGCUAAGAGUAAGCAUGUAACGUGCUCCCAGGCAGCCAAGUCAUGCUACAUUCAGGUCUCUUGCCCAAGUAACUUGGCCUUACUUACACACACUCAAGUGAGAAUUCACAUCAUUAAAGCUUGCUCUCAGCCUUUGCAGCUUCCUGUGCAACUAAACCUGGUGUUUGCCUCAUUGCCCUCCAAACAAACCAUUGCCUUAUUUGUGGGAGAACUCCAAUUCCCUCUGAAAAAUGGUCAUGCAGCAGCUAACACUGAAAACAGAGAGAUUUAAAUUCUCUUUUCACCCAUUCACCUUUAUCAAGGAGCCUGAGGUUUACUACCAUGUUCUCUGGCCCAGCUUUUAAGCUAGUAAUCACUCAAUAGCUCUUAACACAGCCUCCACGAUAACCACUUCCAAAACACUUGAAAGGCUCAGCUUCUCCAAAGAAGACAGAGCUUCAUUACUGUGGAAAAGAAACACCAAGGCAAAUUCCCAUAUGCCCACUUAGUUCAUGACAUGCCCUUUUUAUUGCAUUGUGCAAGCUGUGGCCCAGGAAGCCAGCACCCAGAAAUGUACUUGUCAAGCCAGCACGGCCCAGGCUGGUGGCACUUGCUAACUGUGGUGUAAAAGGCUUCACCACAGGGGACAGAGGCCAGACAAGAGAUUUACACAUUGCUUAUCAGGAUGAAACACCUACUAAAAGCUCUCCCAGAUAGAAACGGCUUCUGCUGAGAAAACAGCAAAAGUGGACAAAUAACUGAGCCAGCUGACUGAUGUUCAAAUGAAGAGCACAGCACUAGCAAUGCAUUUACAUGCAUUUACCAGUUUUGGAAUUAACAUAAAGAUGAGAAAAUGUUUACAGUUUAUAUUAGAGUGGAAAGACAUAGCAAUAAACUGAAUAAUUACUUCGUCUGGUUCUGAAAACUGAGGUUGACUUUGGCAGCAAGGGAGGCUAAAUCUGCUAAAAGACCAUUUGCACAUCCCAAGGUCAGCUAUUUUCAGCCUGCAGUUCUUGUCAGCUUUGGGCUGUGACCCCAGCUUUUCUUCUCUUUCUCUGCCCCCAGCCUGUAAUUUAUAACUUUCUUAUUAACAAAAGGAUUGUUAGAAACAUUUCAUCUGCCACAUAAGUCCAUUAAUACCGUUCAAGAGACAACUGUAAGUAAAGGGACUGAAAUGUAUUCAUAUGGUACAAAGGAGGACAAAACAUAAUACACUGGAAGAGAAGUUGGAAUAUUCCUAAUAGUAUGAGGUCUUCAAAAACUCAGGUCCAAGUGGUAUCUUGUACAAAUUUAUUUCUAACCUUCCAGAAGUUGCUGUCUUAAGUGAAAACUCCCACACUACUCAACAGACUGGAAAAGUCUUAGGAUGCCUAUGGCCAUCUUCAUCACUACUGAACAGCUACAACCAUGGAAUCAUGACAGCAGACAAAAAGUGGCACAAGUUAAUUUUAACCCCUGAUCAGGCCUAGGAUUAACACUGCAGCAUGCAGCUUCAAUUAUUUACAGUCAGAUUGGCUCAACUGUUACAAAGCUAGCAGUGCAAUAUGAGGAACAAAUACAUCAGGGCAUCAUGAAUGAAGUAGUACUCUUCUUAUACUCAAUUACUUUUCCUGGUAAAUGAAAUAGAGAUUGGAAGAAAUAUUAUAUAAAUAUAAAUAAAAUCUCAUUUUGCUGACAAAAGGGAUAUUUUUAAAAUGGAAAAAUAGGUAAAUUACAAGAACUCAUGCUGGUACAACGAUGGAUAUCAAAGUGCAAGUCUUAGAAAAAUCUGAUGCUUCCAGCUCCUUUUGGAAUGCAGACUGUCACACAAAAGAGAGUGGCAGGUAAUCAAAACGACAGCAGUAGUUCAGCUUCCAUUUCUCACUUCACAUUGUCUAAUUUCUGCCCUUGGGUGCUCAGUUUCUUAUUCCUCAGUUCUCUAAAAUCUGAUGUUCCACUUCCCCCUACUCGCAGCCAAGUCUGUCAGAAAGUGUGAACUCGAGAUGAGAAACAACUCUCAAUCCCUACUAAAACAAAACAAGAUGAUAGAUAGAUAUCUAUUAUCAAAUUAGAGAGGCAUUACCGUGGGCUAUAUGUGGCCCCUUCUCUUCCCUGCCCCACCAGUUGUGAUUUGGAUGUGCUCCCAUUUGCUUUAUACAAAGUGCAACAGAAAAAAUUUGCCCUAUUCUCCAGUGAAGUGACACCAGAUUGGUAGCUCCAAUCUCAGGCUCAUUUUUGUCAGCCUCUGUACCUGAUUGGUUCCAGAACAAAUCCACCACAAAGUACAAACUCUGCAUAAUUUCUGAUAAACAUAUCUUUGAGCAUUUUAAAGUAAAGUGAGAGGAACAAAUCCAAGCUCCUGCUCAAUAGCCCCCACUCAAGGUAUUCACAUAGAAGAAGGCAAGUAAUGAAAUUCAGCUCAGGUCCAUAACCUGACUGAGAAAAAGCUGGAAUUCAGCUCCCACCUCUCCAGGCAGCGAUGAGCACAGCAGUUCAGAGCUAAAGUCGUUCCCUGUCUUUGAGGUUUUGUCUUUCAUUUAAAAGGGACAAAAGAAAUCUGGAGAAAAAGUUGGUCUAGAAAAGUUCAUGCUAGCCAAUAAAAUAAACAGAAUCACUGGAAAAGUUCUCAAAUCUAUCUUAUUCUGUCUCAGACAGACCUUGCUUGAUUCUAAGUUUACUUAGAAAAGAAUUCUACUGACUUAAUGACAGCAAGCAGCUUCUCUUCCAGUCUGGAUUAGAGAUCUGAUAGACAAAGUGAAAUAAGAAUAGAAACAGCAUAAAAUGAUCACACGUCGGGAGAGUCCUUUUUAUCUAAAGUGACAUCUUUAAAAAACAGCUCUCAGAUGAGUGGAUGGCUGGCUUUUGUCUGCAUGCAACAUGAACUGUUUUAAUGAACAACAUUCCUUUCCUCCAAGUUUCACUGCUCCUGUCUUUAAUUCCAACUGGUUUUUGCCCCUAAUCAAACCAUGGUGCAUGGAUCAAAUGCUGCUGCGGUUAAGAUCAAUGCUAAUUUGAAAAAAUUUCAGCAGAAGCAGGAUUUGGUCAGUAGAUUCAGGGGGCACGCUUCAAUAUGUUUUGAAGUUAAGCAUUGUAUUAAUUAUCAAAUGACACUAAUUGUCUACAUAUAAAAAAAGGAGACAUAAAAUAAAUCCCUUUCAGCGCUGACACUUGUGGGUGUUUUUUCAGGAACUAUUUAACAUCAUAUAGGAAUACAUUUACUUAAGGUAUAGGAAGAACACUCUGUCAUUUACAAAGCACAGGGGAGAAGGAACAAAAUUACUCCCAAGUUAGAAUUUCACUGAUGUAAGUAUGCCAACACAUAGCCCAAACUUUGCAAAAACCUAAAUUCUAACUAGUCAGAACUUUUUCCUUCUAAUACAGAAGCAUCUCUCUUUCCAUUAUUAAUUUUUUUAAAUAAAUGAAUCGAUGCAACUGUUUUCUGUUUCUGUAUCCAGCCACCACAUACUCUCUGAAUACAUUCACAUCUCACAUGAACCUGUUUCUAUUCUGCAUUGCCUCUUUUUUAAAAUUAAAAAAAAAAAAAAA